UUUUAGUUUCGAUAUUUCGUUACAUACUUUAACUAGUGUUUAAAAUGAAGCCGCAAGGAGAGACGACACGACUCGUUUCUCUACCUCGCCAAAUAGUGCACAGAGUUAGAAGUGGAGGUCACGCUCUCCGAAGAGACGCGCUUAAUUCACUAAUGAUCCUUCCGCAGGUUCACCUACGGAAA
rnacentral:misc_RNA from 1 species